rnacentral:rRNA from 1 species
AAUACACCUCUCUCUCACCAACGUAUAUCUUCUCUCUUCCAUGAAUGAAGAACCGGAAGAAUGCCGACCGGGUGUGAAUUGCUCAAUCCCAACCAACCAUGUCGACUUUGAACGUUGUUGCGCCCGAGGCCCCCCGGCCAAGGGCACGCCGGCCUGGGCGUCACGC